rnacentral:rRNA from 1 species
UACACAUGCAGUCGAACGGAUCCUUCGGGAUUAGUGGCGGACGGGUGAGUAACACGUGGGAACGUGCCUUUUGGUUCGGAACAACUCAGGGAAACUUGAGCUAAUACCGGAUAAGCCUUUCGAGGGAAAGAUUUAUCGCCAUUAGAGCGGCCCGCGUAGGAUUAGCUAGUUGGUGAGGUAAAGGCUCACCAAGGCUACGAUCCUUAGCUGGUCUGAGAGGAUGAUCAGCCACAUUGGGACUGAGACACGGCCCAAACUCCUACGGGAGGCAGCAGUGGGGAAUCUUGCGCAAUGGGCGAAAGCCUGACGCAGCCAUGCCGCGUGAAUGAUGAAGGUCUUAGGAUUGUAAAAUUCUUUCACCGAGGACGAUAAUGACGGUACUCGGAGAAGAAGCCCCGGCUAACUUCGUGCCAGCAGCCGCGGUAAUACGAAGGGGGCUAGCGUUGCUCGGAAUUACUGGGCGUAAAGGGAGCGUAGGCGGAUAGUUUAGUCAGAGGUGAAAGCCCAGGGCUCAACCUUGGAAUUGCCUUUGAUACUGGCUAUCUUGAGUACGGAAGAGGUAUGUGGAACUCCGAGUGUAGAGGUGAAAUUCGUAGAUAUUCGGAAGAACACCAGUGGCGAAGGCGACAUACUGGUCCGUUACUGACGCUGAGGCUCGAAAGCGUGGGGAGCAAACAGGAUUAGAUACCCUGGUAGUCCACGCUGUA